GUGAGGAAUAUUGGUCAAUGGGCGAGAGCCUGAACCAGCCAAGUCGCGUGAAGGAUGAAGGUUUUGUGAAUUGUAAACUUCUUUUGCAGGGGAAUAAAGUACGGUACGUGUACCGUUUUGUAUGUACUCUGCGAAUAAGGAUCGGCUAACUCCGUGCCAGCAGCCGCGGUAAUACGGAGGAUCCAAGCGUUAUCCGGAUUUAUUGGGUUUAAAGGGUGCGCAGGCGGGUUGAUAAGUCAGCGGUGAAAGUUUGCAGCUUAACUGUAAAAUUGCCGUUGAAACUGUCGAUCUUGAGUGCAAAUGAGGUAAGCGGAAUGUGUUGUGUAGCGGUGAAAUGCUUAGAUAUAACACAGAACACCGAUUGCGAAGGCAGCUUACUGGGAUGCAACUGACGCUCAUGCACGAAAGCGUGGGGAUCAAACAGGAUUAGAUACCCCAGUAGUCC
rnacentral:rRNA from 1 species